UGGGGAAUAUUGGACAAUGGGGGAAACCCUGAUCCAGCCAUGCCGCGUGAAUGAUGAAGGCCUUCGGGUUGUAAAGUUCUUUUGGUGGGGACGAUGAUGACGGUACCCACAGAAUAAGCUCCGGCUAACUUCGUGCCAGCAGCCGCGGUAAUACGAAGGGAGCUAGCGUUGUUCGGAAUUACUGGGCGUAAAGGGCGCGUAGGCGGUUUGACAAGUCGGAUGUGAAAGCCCUGGGCUUAACCCGGGAAUUGCAUUCGAUACUGUUUUACUAGAAUUCGGUAGAGGUUGGUAGAAUUCCCAGUGUAGAGGUGAAAUUCGUAGAGAUUGGGAAGAAUACCCGUGGCGAAGGCGGCCAACUGGACCGACAUUGACGCUGAGGCGCGAAAGCGUGGGUAGCAAACA
rnacentral:rRNA from 1 species